GUUGUCGUGGCCGAGUGGUUUAGGCAAUAGACUAGAAAUAUUUUCGGAUCUUCCUGCGCAGGUUCGAAUCCUGUCGACAACA
rnacentral:tRNA from 1 species